rnacentral:rRNA from 1 species
GAUGAACGCUGGCGGCGUGCCUAAUACAUGCAAGUCGAGCGAACGGACGAGAAGCUUGCUUCUCUGAUGUUAGCGGCGGACGGGUGAGUCACACGUGGAUAACCUACCUAUAAGACUGGGAUAACUUCGGGAAACCGGAGCUACUAGCGGAUAAUAUUUUGAACCGCAUGGUUCAAAAGUGAAAGACGGUCUUGCUGUCACUUAUGGCUGGAUCCGCGCUGCAUUAGCUAGUUGGUAAGGUAACGGCUUACCAAGGCAACGAUGCAUAGCCGACCUGAAAGGGUGAUCGGCCACACUGGAACUGAGACACGGUCCAGACUCCUACGGGAGGCAGCAGUAGGGAAUCUUCCGCAAUGGGCGAGAGCCUGACGGAGCGACGCCGCGGGAGUGAUGAAGGUCUUCGGAUCGUAAAACGCUGUUAGUAGGGAAGAACAUAUGUGUAAGUAACUGUGCACAUCUUGACGGUACCUAAUCAGAAAGCCACGGCUAACUACGUG